ACCUGCGGAAGGAUCAUUGUCGUGACCCUAACAAAAAUAGACUGUGAAUUUGUCAUCCAAGCCGUCGGGUGACGGUGCCAGCACCGUCUCUCGGCAUAGGCCAUCUUCCUUCUGACGGAGGGGAGGUGGCCCAAAAGAACCCACGGCGCUGUAUGGCGUCAAGGAACACUAUGUUGCAUGCUCAGGGCCACGAUCGGCGUGCUGAACGGGUCCUGUGCUGCUAUGCUACCUGAAUGUAUAUAAGACUCUCGGCAACGGAUAUCUUGGCUCUUGCAUCGAUGAAGAACGUAGCAAAAUGCGAUACCUGGUGUGAAUUGCAGAAUCCCGUGAACCAUCGAGUUUUUGAACGCAAGUUGCGCCUGAGGCCUCUUGGUUGAGGGCACGUCUGCCUGGGCGUCACGCCAAAAGACACUCCCUUGCAAUCCUUGCGUGGGAUGUGGUGUUUGGCCUUCCAUUCUCUACUUAUAAGGUGUGGUAGGCUAAAGGAAGUGGCUUCUGGCUGUGGUGCCAGUCACAGCACUUGGUGGAUGACACAUGUUGUUCUCGAAGUUGUGACUUGUACUGAUUCCGGUAACAUUGGCCCUCUGUACCCCAUGGAUUGAGCAUCGAUUGCUUGCACCGCGACCCCAGGUCAGUCGGGAUUACCCGCUGAAUUUAAGCAUAUCAAUAAG
rnacentral:rRNA from 1 species